rnacentral:lncRNA from 1 species
ACCCGGCCAAAAAAGCCUCCGUGCGCCUACUCUACGGUGCACCGCGUCCCCUCUGCACCAGAAGGGCCCUGUCCUCCCACAUCCACCGCGCCCUCCUCCGGGCCCCCGAGGGCACUGGGGCGCUUCCUCUGCCAGACCUCCCCUGCGACUCACUCUUCCGGCUCCAGAGCCCCCCCGCCCCAACAGCAAAGCAGCCGUGACCUGCCCCAGGGGCGCAGCCCUGCCCCAGGCUGGAAGGCAGCAGAGCUGUGGCGUCGAGGCACCCAGCGGACUGCGGGGCUGGCGUGCCCGCGGUUACCUGCGCGGCCAGAGGGCUCCGCGAGAUCGAAGAACCAGAAGAGCAGCAUGAGGAGCCCCGCCGGGCGGCGAGGGGUCGCCCAGCCUGUCCUCAUCCUGAGCUGGCGCAAGCCUUCCGGCCGGGUCCUCGGGCGCACGCGGCUCCCGCCCCGCCUGCUGAGCGCGGCCUGCCCCGCCCGCACCUCUGUCUAGGCCUCUGGGGGCGCCCCGGCCCCGCCCCCGCCGCCCUCGGCCAAUCAGACGUGCGUCUCCUCGGCCCCGGGGCGGAGCGGGCCAGGUGUGGGAAAUGAACAGGGCUGGGCGCUAGAUACCUGCGUGGGGUAGGACCCGCGAGGAAGAGGGUCUGGCCUUUCAGUUCCAUAGAUAUAGUGAGCACCUGCCAUCACAGGAUCUGGGCACGCCAUGGAACAGAAGGACAAAAAGACAACAUCUCUGCCCUCCCCUGAAUACUGGGGAGACUGAGGCACUGUGAUGGAUAAUAUUGUCAGCUCGAUUGAUAUGAACGAAUGCAAAGUAUUGUUCCUGGGUGUGUCUGUGAGGGUGUUGCCAAGGAGAUUAACAGUGGACUGGGAGAGGCGGACCAGCCCUCAGUCUGGGUGGGCACCAUCUCAUCAGCUGCCAGCAUGGCUAGAAUAAAAGCAGGCAGAAGUUGGAAGGACUUGACUGGCUGAGUCUCCUGGCCUUCACCUUUCUCCCGUGCUAGAUGCUUCCUACCCUCGAACAUCGGACUCCAGGUUCUUCAGCUUUUGGACUCUUAGACCUAUAAAAGUGGUUUGUCAGGGGAUCUCUGGCCUUCGGCCACAGACUGAAGGCUGCACUGUUGGCUUCCCUACUUCUGAGGUUUUGGAACUCGGACUGGCUUCUUUGUUCCUCAGCUUGCAGACAGCCUAUUGUGGGACUUCACCUUGUGAUCAUAUGAGUCAAUACUCCUUAAUAAACUCCCUUUCAUAUAUACAUGUAUCCUAUUAGUCCUGUCCCUCUAGAGAACCCUAAUACAGGCACACUCAGUGACACAGGGCAGAAUGAAUGGGGAAACUCUGACAAAUGUUGAGGGAAGGCAACAUCUUAGCUGGGUCUUAAAGAAUGGGUAGGAAUUUGAGCAGGCACAGCUGGUGGGAGAAAACCAGUGACAGGGCAGAGGCCAGAAAAUGCAAGCAGAGUCAGAAGACAGUCCAGAGUCCAGGGUAGCUGCCCUGCGGGGGGUGUGUCUGUGAGAGAGAUCAAAGUGGUUGUGGUGGGGGCCCCAGUGGAAAUGACAGCAGAAAGGUGAGUUGUGUCUGUUUUGUGAAGGGCCUUGAAUUUAUUCUAAGGCACAGAUGGUGGGAAGUUCUGAGUAGGAGAACCUGCCACUGACCUGAUCCCCUCUGCCUCUGUGGCUGCCUGCCUUUCUUUCUGAUCCUGCCCAGCUUGGAGCUCCUUGAGGGCAGUGGUCUUGCCGUAUUCAUUAUCACAUCCUCAACACUGGGCACAGGGCCUGUCCCAAAGUCAGCUCUCAAUAAAUGUUAGUUUAAUCGAUGGAUGGAUUCCUAGGGCCACCACCUUAGCCUAGGGCCAUAUGAGCUCCUACUUGCAUUAUAUUGCAAUAAUUUAUCAAUUGACCUCACUGCCAACAGUUAUUAUCCUCUCUGGCAAAUGAAUCCUUCUAAACACUGUUUGGAACAUGCCACUUUUCUACUCAAAUCCUUUCAGUGCUAUUUGCAUAUAGCAGGAGCUCCUAAAUGCUACUUAAGGGAAAUUAUGAAACCCUGAAAUUUUAUGCAGCUUUAUAAAUGCACUAUGUUUUGAGGAGGAGGAGGAAGGGUACAAGGCUUUCAUGAGAAUCCCAGAGAAGCCCAUGAUACAAAAAGAAAACUCUAAGACAAAAAGCAAGUACCUCUACAAUUUGACCCUUUCUCUUUCUUUGAGAUGGAGUUUCACUCUUGUUGCCCAGGCUGGAGUGCAAUGGCGCGAUCUCAGCUCACUGCAACCUCCGCCUCCUGGGUUCAAACGAUUCUCCUGCCUCAUCCUCCUGAGUAGCUGGGAUUACGGGCAUGCAUCACCACGGCCAGGCUAAUUUUGUAUUUUUAUUAGAGACAGGGUUUCUCCAUGUUGGUCAGGCUGGUCUCGAACUCCUGACCUCAGGUGAUCCGCCCGCCUCAGCCUCCAAAAGUGCUGGAAUUACAGUUGUGAACCACCGUGCCUGGCCUAAUCUGACCCUUUCUCUUUACUCCCUUCAUAUGUCACUCUUUGGUUCAAGCUACCUGUCUGAACCUGUCUUGCCUUUUCUUAUCUCUGCCCAUAUAUGCAUAUCCAGAAUGCCAUUUUCCCUUUGUCUUAGUUCCAACCUUUCUUGAAGUUUCUGUUUAGAUCUGACAUUUUACGUAAAACACUUCUACCAAGGGGUUAACCUUCUUCCAAAUAUCUACCUAAUAGUGUGAAUUCCUUUCACUUGGUAUUUAACAUGUAUUACCUCUUGCCACGAUUUUUUCUUCAGGGACAUGUGCACUGAUUAUUUCACCUAGGUUAUAGAUUCUCAGUAAAUAUUGUCAAUGGUGACAAUAAAAAGCAAUGUGUCCUUCAGGUCUCACCUUGGACGUUACUUUCUCAAAGAAAUUUUUUUUUUUGACUCUACAGUCUAGGUGAGCUUCCUCUAUAACAGGUUCUCCAGGCUUCCCACACUUCUUCCUGAUAGCACUUAGCACAGCUGGAGUAGAUCAUUCUGUGCUUGCUCAUUUGUUUAAUGUGUAUCUCCCUCACCAGGCUGCAGGCUCCAUGAAGACAGUGACUAUGCCUGCUUCAUUCACUUCUGUGUCCCUAAUACCUGGCACAUGAUUUGCUGCAUGAAUGAAUAAGUAAAUAUAUAGUAAUACCUCAUAAAUGAUGCAGGCAAUGGAAGGUCUAGACAUUUAAAAGAGGGGAAAAUUGGCUUGGGUGGGGGCAGCAGUUUUCAGGCAUUGAACUGGAUGUCCUUGGAUGAGAAGCAUUCAGUAGAUAGAGGCAAUGAAGAUGCUACAAGCUGAGACAAUGGUAUAAACAAAUUACAAACAUCGGCCACCCACUGGAAGCCAGACCAUGUGCUAAGCAUUUCCCAUGUACUCUCUUGUUUAGGAAUCAUCCUACAAAGUAAGUACUCCUAUAAUCCUCAUUUUAUAAAUGUGGAAACUAAGACAACACAGAGAAGACUGAUACCUAGACCAGGUUAGUAGCCACAAGUGAAGACACUAUGAUGGAAAUCUAACUAUAGAACUUGAAUGAGUGUGUGAGAGUGUUAGUGAUAUUUUAUUCCCAAUCACAAUUAGGGAGGAGGGGAAAAGGAGCUUUUAGAAUCUCUGAAGUCACGUUUUUUAAUUAUAAAAUAAAUCAUACCCCAAAAAAGAAUAGCUAUGCUUGUUGGCCUCUUGUGGUCAUAUUCACCUUACUCCCACAUAGAGGUAACCUCUCCUCUGAAUUAUUCAUCACUGUUUCUUUACCGUUUUCCCAUAUAUGAUUCAUUCCUUAAAGAGUACCUAUAAUUUUACAUGUUUUUGAAUUUUAUGUAAAUGAAUCAUUUCAAGGGUUGGGUUUUUUUUGUCACUUGUCUUUUUGCUUUAAAUUCUGUCUGUGACAUUCAUCUGUGUUGGUGUGUGUAGUUGUAGUUCAUUCAUUUUUAUGUAACAUUUCAUUAUAAGAAUAAAGGACACUAUGCAUUCUCUUGUUGGGGGAUGUUUGAGUAGUUUCCCGCUGGGUAGUUUCCAUUUGGGUAGCUUGUAUUUGCUGCUCUUAAUGCUCCUGUGAAGUUUUUGUACCUGUCUCUUGGUGCACAUUGCUAGAGUUUCCUGAGGAUAUGGUCCUAGAAAUGGAAUUCCUGGAGCACAGGGUAUGUGUAGCAUUACAAUUAUUGGACAAUGCCAAUGAACUUUCUGAUUUACACUCCCAUUGGUGUGCAUAAGCAUUCCCACUGCUGAACAUCUUCAUCAACAUUGGCAUUGUAAAAUUUUUGGUGGGGUGUAAAAUGGUAUCUGUUAGUGGUUUAAAAUUGUAUUACCCUGAUUGCUAAUGAGGUUGGACAUAUUUUUCUCUGUGUAUUGGUUAUUUGUAUUUCCUUUUCACAUUCUUGUACAGGUUAUUUGCCUGUUUUUUUCGAUCUGUUCCCUGCCCUUUUCUGCUUUGAAUCCCAAGUGGCUUGCACUUCCCAGACCCCUCUUGCCUGUUUCCUUCUGGUUAGGGUCAGCCAAUGGCCUGAGAUAGGAAUUUGGAAGGAGUAGAACCCAGGGUAUUUCUUUCCUCUCUGCUUUGGGAGAAGAGCAAGCAGUGGCUGUGCCUCUUUGUGGUUCUAGCUCCUGCCUGGAAGCCCCAGCCUUUGUGUUCCAACUCCCACCAGGCAACCUCUGCCAUACUACCAGCAACUUUUGGGUUCUCCAACGUUCUAGCUCCUACAAUGUAUCCCUGGUUCCCGCACUGAUAACAUCCCUUCCCUGUCCUCAGGCCCCAUGGAUGUCAGUAGCUUGUCAUAGUCGUUGCUUUCAGAGUAGCCUCAUAAGCACUUCUUUUUAGCUCUUCCAACACUUCUGUAACUCAUUAUUUCCCUAUAUUAGAUUUCUUCAAUUGAACUACCUAGCAUGGGUUUUGUUCUCUUUAUUGGACCUUGAUGAUAUUGAUUUUACAUACAACAGAAUUGUACCUUGAGACAGCAUCCAAAAUUGAGUUAGAUGUGAACUAGAGAAACAACACAUGGAACAUAUUCAACUGCAUGGGGAGUUGUGGCAUGAAGAGAACCAGUGUGGGAUUCAUAUAAACUGCAAUUAUGACGAUGCCCACAGAUUGUCCCAGGUGUAGUAAGAAGGACCCAGGAGGCCCAGAUAAGGACU